rnacentral:rRNA from 1 species
AGAGUUUGAUCCUGGCUCAGGGUUAACGCUGGCGGCGUGCCUAACACAUGCAAGUCGAACGGUUCUAAGCGCGAGCUUAGGAUAGUGGCGAACGGGUGAGUAAAAGGUAGGAAUCUACCCCUUGGACGGAGAUAGCUACUGGAAACGGUAGGUAAACUUCGAUAAGCCCGAGAGGGGAAAGUGGUGAGACAGCCGAGGGAUGAGCCUACUCUCCAUCAGGUAGUUGGUGAGAUAAAAGCUUACCAAGCCGAUGACGGAUAACCGGUGUGAGAGCAUGAACGGUCACAAGGGCACUGAGAGACGGGCCCUACUCCUACGGGAGGCAGCAGUGGGGAAUCUUGGACAAUGGGCGAAAGCCUGAUCCAGCGACGCCGCGUGGAGGAAGAAGUCCUUCGGGAUGUAAACUUCUGAACUAGCCGAAUAAAAGGCCUGUGGACACACAGGAGAAGAAAGUAGGCUAGGAAAAGUCCCGGCUAACUACGUGCCAGCAGCCGCGGUAAGACGUAGGGGGCAAGCGUUACCCGGAAUUACUGGGCGUAAAGGGGGCGUAGGCGGUAAAAGAAGUCAUCUGUGAAAACCUAUUGCUCAACGAUAGGCUAGCGGAUGAAACUGAAUUACUUGAGGGCACCAGAGGUAGACGGAAUUACCCGAGUAGGGGUGAAAUCCGCAGAUACGGGUAGGAACGCCGGUGGAGAAGUCGGUCUACUGGGGUGCACCAGACGCUGAGGCCCGAAAGCUAGGGGAGCAAACCGGAUUAGAUACCCGGGUAGUCCUAGCCGUAAACGAUGCUCACUAGGUGUAGGGAGUGAUAAACUCUCUGUGCUGAAGCGAACGCGCUAAGUGAGCCGCCUGGGGAGUACGUCCGCAAGGAUGAAACUCAAAGGAAUUGACGGGGGUCCGCACAAGCGGUGGAGCAUGUGGUUUAAUUCGAUGGUAACCGAAGAACCUUACCAGAGAUUGACAUGUAACUGAAGGUAGAGAAAUCAACUGGCCUGCUGCAAAGCGGGAGGUUACACAGGUGGUGCACGGCCGUCGUCAGCUCGUGCCGUGAGGUGUUGGGUUAAGUCCCGCAACGAGCGCAACCC